rnacentral:rRNA from 1 species
CGGUAACAGCACUUCGGUGGCUGACGAGUGGCGCACGGGUGCGUAACGCGUAUGCAAUCUACCUUUUACAGUGGGAUAGCCCAGAGAAAUUUGGAUUAAUACCGCAUAGUAUAUAGAAUCGGCAUCGAUUUUAUAUUAAACAUUUAUGGGUAAAAGAUGAGCAUGCGUUCUAUUAGCUAGAUGGAGUGGUAACGGCACCCCAUGGCGACGAUAGAUAGGGGCCCUGAGAGGGGGAUCCCCCACANCUGGUACUGAGACACGGACCAGACUCCUACGGGAGGCAGCAGUGAGGAAUAUUGGACAAUGGGCGCAAGCCUGAUCCAGCCAUGCCGCGUGCAGGAAGACUGCCCUAUGGGUUGUAAACUGCUUUUAUACGGGAAGAAACACCCCCNUCGUGAGGGGGCUUGACGGUACCGUAAGAAUAAGGAUCGGCUAACUCCGUGCCAGCAGCCGCGGUAAUACGGAGGAUCCAAGCGUUAUCCGGAAUCAUUGGGUUUAAAGGGUCCGUAGGUGGAUAAUUAAGUCAGAGGUGAAAUCCUGCAGCUCAACUGUAGAAUUGCCUUUGAUACUGGUUAUCUUGAAUUAUUAUGAAGUAGUUAGAAUAUGUAGUGUAGCGGUGAAAUGCAUAGAUAUUACAUAGAAUACCAAUUGCGAAGGCAGAUUACUAAUAAUAUAUUGACACUGAUGGACGAAAGCGUGGGGAGCGA